AGUCUUCGUCAAUCAGCGAGAUCGUCGA
rnacentral:sRNA from 1 species